CUUGGAGAGAGGAGGACCUGGGAAGCAGAGCAGAGCAAGCUGGGGAGCUCCAGCCUAGCAGAGCUGCAAGCUGAGGUGCUAGUCGAGUAUACUACCAGAUCCUCCUGCAGGACUGAGGCUAUUGAGGAAUUAUGACAGAACAAUCCAUACUAUACAGCUGAAAGAAAAGGCAGAACCAUCAAAGAAAGGAGCCAAUCUGCAUGACUGCAUAAGACAGCUUUCUUCUACUGACACCUGUUCAACCCUAUUGCCCUGCAAGGUAGUCAAGCUCAAGGAAAUCAUGUCAUGGGAUGCAGAGAGGGUGCAUCCAUUGAGGAUUUAUCGUGGAUGUGUCUGUGUCCUUUUUGUCUAUUAGACUGGGAAUACUU